rnacentral:rRNA from 1 species
AGUGAACGCUGGCGGCAGGCCUAACACAUGCAAGUCGAACGGCAGCACAGUAAGAGCUUGCUCUUAUGGGUGGCGAGUGGCGGACGGGUGAGGAAUACAUCGGAAUCUACUCUUUCGUGGGGGAUAACGUAGGGAAACUUACGCUAAUACCGCAUACGACCUACGGGUGAAAGCGGAGGACCUUCGGGCUUCGCGCGAUUGAAUGAGCCGAUGUCGGAUUAGCUAGUUGGCGGGGUAAAGGCCCACCAAGGCGACGAUCCGUAGCUGGUCUGAGAGGAUGAUCAGCCACACUGGAACUGAGACACGGUCCAGACUCCUACGGGAGGCAGCAGUGGGGAAUAUUGGACAAUGGGCGCAAGCCUGAUCCAGCCAUGCCGCGUGGGUGAAGAAGGCCUUCGGGUUGUAAAGCCCUUUUGUUGGGAAGAAAAGCAGUCGGUUAAUACCCGAUUGUUCUGACGGUACCCAAAGAAUAAGCACCGGCUAACUUCGUGCCAGCCGCCGCGGUAA